AUUGAACGCUGGCGGCAGGCUUAACACAUGCAAGUCGAGCGGGGAAGGGUAGCUUGCUACCUAACCUAGCGGCGGACGGGUGAGUAAUGCUUAGGAAUCUGCCAUUUAGUGGGGGACAACAUUCCGAAAGGAAUGCUAAUACCGCAUACGUCCUACGGGAGAAAGCAGGGGAUCUUCGGACCUUGCGCUAAAUGAUGAGCCUAAGUCGGAUUAGCUAGUUGGUGGGGUAAAGGCCUACCAAGGCGACGAUCUGUAGCGGGUCUGAGAGGAUGAUCCACCACACUGGGACUGAGACACGGCCCAGAAGCCUACUGGAGGCAGCAGUGGGGAAUAUUGGACAAUGGGCGGAAGCCUGAUCCAGCCAUGCCGCGUGUGUGAGGAAGGCCUUAUGGUUGUAAAGCACUUUAAGCGAGGAGGAGGCUACUUAGAUUAAUACUCUAGGAUAGUGGACGUUACUCGCAGAAUAAGCACCGGCUAACUCUGUGCCAGCAGCCGCGGUAA
rnacentral:rRNA from 1 species